GACGAACGCUGGCGGCGCGCCUAACACAUGCAAGUCGAACGGAGCUAUUUCGACAGAUCCCUUCGGGGUGACAUUGGCUUAGCUUAGUGGCGAACGGGUGAGUAACACGUGAGGAACCUGCCUCAAAGAGGGGGACAACAGUUGGAAACGACUGCUAAUACCGCAUAAGACCACAGGGUCGCAUGACCCGGUGGUAAAAACUCCGGUGGUAUGAGAUGGACCCGCGUCUGAUUAGCUAGUUGGUGGGGUAACGGCUCACCAAGGCGACGAUCAGUAGCCGACCUGAGAGGGUGACCGGCCACAUUGGGACUGAGACACGGCCCAA
rnacentral:rRNA from 1 species